rnacentral:tRNA from 1 species
AAAAUCUUAAGUUAAAAUAAACUAUUAACCUUCAAAGUUAAUUAUAUAUAUAAAUAAUUAUAUAGGUUUUA